AUCGAGGCUACAGUCACACUUGGGUAUUGGUUAUUGCCUUAGUGUGCUAGAGUCCUCGAAGAGUAACUGCUGACCUUAUUCAUUGGUUGUGGCCCUCAUGGCACAGUCACCAGGUUAGUGACAUGC
ensembl:snoRNA